rnacentral:rRNA from 1 species
GACGAACUCUGGCGGCGUGCUUAACACAUGCAAGUCGAACGGUAAGGCUUCAGCUUGCUGGGGUACACGAGUGGCGAACGGGUGAGUAACACGUGGGUGACCUGCCCUGCACUUCGGGAUAAGCCUGGGAAACUGGGUCUAAUACCGGAUAGGACCGCACCGUGAGGGUGUGGUGGAAAGUUUUUUCGGUGUGGGAUGGGCCCGCGGCCUAUCAGCUUGUUGGUGGGGUAAUGGCCUACCAAGGCGGCGACGGGUAGCCGGCCUGAGAGGGUGGACGGCCACAUUGGGACUGAGACACGGCCCAGACUCCUACGGGAGGCAGCAGUGGGGAAUAUUGCACAAUGGGCGGAAGCCUGAUGCAGCGACGCCGCGUGGGGGAUGACGGCCUUCGGGUUGUAAACUCCUUUCACCAUCGACGAAGGGUUUCUGACGGUAGAUGGAGAAGAAGCACCGGCUAACUACGUGCCAGCAGCCGCGGUAAUACGUAGGGUGCGAGCGUUGUCCGGAAUUACUGGGCGUAAAGAGCUCGUAGGUGGUUUGUCGCGUCGUCUGUGAAAUUCCGGGGCUUAACUCCGGGCGUGCAGGCGAUACGGGCAUAACUUGAGUACUGUAGGGGAGACUGGAAUUCCUGGUGUAGCGGUGAAAUGCGCAGAUAUCAGGAGGAACACCGGUGGCGAAGGCGGGUCUCUGGGCAGUAACUGACGCUGAGGAGCGAAAGCAUGGGGAGCGAACAGGAUUAGAUACCCUGGUAGUCCAUGCCGUAAACGGUGGGCGCUAGGUGUGGGUUUCCUUCCACGGGAUCCGUGCCGUAGCUAACGCAUUAAGCGCCCCGCCUGGGGAGUACGGCCGCAAGGCUAAAACUCAAAGGAAUUGACGGGGGCCCGCACAAGCGGCGGAGCAUGUGGAUUAAUUCGAUGCAACGCGAAGAACCUUACCUGGGCUUGACAUAUACAGGAUCGCGCCAGAGAUGGUGUUUCCCUUGUGGCUUGUAUACAGGUGGUGCAUGGUUGUCGUCAGCUCGUGUCGUGAGAUGUUGGGUUAAGUCCCGCAACGAGCGCAACCCUUGUCUUAUGUUGCCAGCACGUUGUGGUGGGGACUCGUAAGAAACUGCCGGGGUUAACUCGGAGGAAGGUGGGGAUGACGUCAAAUCAUCAUGCCCCUUAUGUCCAGGGCUUCACACAUGCUACAAUGGUCGGUACAGUGGGUUGCCAGUCCGUGAGGGCGAGCUAAUCCCGCAAAGCCGGUCUCAGUUCGGAUCGGGGUCUGCAACUCGACCCCGUGAAGUCGGAGUCGCUAGUAAUCGCAGAUCAGCAACGCUGCGGUGAAUACGUUCCCGGGCCU